GACGAACGCUGGCGGCGUGCUUAACACAUGCAAGUCGAACGGUAAGGCCCUUCGGGGUACACGAGUGGCGAACGGGUGAGUAACACGUGGGUGAUCUACCCUGCACUUCGGGAUAAGCCUGGGAAACUGGGUCUAAUACCGGAUAGGACCACUGCCUGCAUGGGUGGUGGUGGAAAACUUUUGCGGUGUGGGAUGGGCCCGCGGCCUAUCAGCUUGUUGGUGGGGUGAUGGCCUACCAAGGCGACGACGGGUAGCCGGCCUGAGAGGGUGACCGGCCACACUGGGACUGAGAUACGGCCCAGACUCCUACGGGAGGCAGCAGUGGGGAAUAUUGCACAAUGGGCGCAAGCCUGACGCAGCGACGCCGCGUGAGGGAUGACGGCCUUCGGGUUGUAAACCUCUUUCAGCACCGACGAAGCGCAAGUGACGGUAGGUGCAGAAGAAGGACCGGCCAACUACGUGCCAGCAGCCGCAGUAA
rnacentral:rRNA from 1 species